rnacentral:lncRNA from 1 species
GUGUAAGAGCCCUUUUAGGUGGGGUCAUGUAGGUUAAAAUGUGAGAGUAAAGCAACAUCGAGAGCUCUGGAUGGAUCUGUUAAGAUUUAAAGAGUUUAUGUGGAAGACAUCAAGAAACAGUAAAUGAGGAAUAUUAAACAGCAAAACUUCAGAAACUCACCGGAGGCAGGUGUCCUGAGAGCCAUAUAGCUUUUAAGACAACUGUAGUCAAUGUCUCCCAUAAAAGGCUUGCCUCACCCAGCCAACCCCCUGCCAUAAAACCUAACAGAGACGAAAGAUUAAGAAAUGAUGUCACAGCCACAAGACACCACACCUAUGAAACACAACGUUUCAAAGAAUUAUUCCCACUUGUCUGUAACUGUGCACGUGUUAAACCACAAAAGAAAACAGAAACUAGAGCCACUUCUACUCACACUUGAAGUUCACAAAUAGUGUCAAGUUAAUUUUUUUGUGCUUCAGAUUGCUUUUGCUAAAGAGUGCUCUUUUUUCUUUUACUUUCUCUUUUCUUUUUACUUAUUACGAAUUACAGCGUAUAUUCCUAGGAAUGUAAUGUCUAG